rnacentral:rRNA from 1 species
UUGAAAGGGAAACGAUUGAAGUCAGUCGUACCUUCGGGUAAUCAGCCUUUCGGGUGCGAUUCUGUGGAGCGUGGGGAGUUAAACGCCUUCAUGCCUGCAUAUUCGUGCACUUUGGGUGUACUUGCCCGUGUGGUAGGUUAACAUCAAUUUCGGAUAUCAUAAAAUGGCUGGAGGAAUGUAGCUUCGGUCUCGUACUGAAGUGUUAUAGCCUUUGGUAGGUGUGAUGACCGGGAUUGAGGAUUGCAACGAAUACCUUUUGGGCUAUCCGUCUGAUCUCUGAAAGUUGCUCUGGUGCCGAAAGCUUGCUUACGGUUAUCAAAGUUGACGUUCAAAAGGUUAGAACGGGUUAAAUUCGUUAAGGAUGUUGACGUA